AUACUUACCUGGUGGGAGAGAUAGCAUGAUCAUGAAGGUGGUUCUCUCAGGGUGAGGCUCAUCCAUUGCACUCAGGUCAUUCUGACCCCUGCAAUUUCCCCAAGCACAGGAAAUUCGGCUGCACAGUUUCUGCUGGUAGAGGACUGUGUUCACACUUUCCUCUG
rnacentral:snRNA from 1 species